UCUUUGCUAGUAUAUCGGAUAGUACAGCCGCCUGUCAUUAGGCGGUUCGCGGCAGAGCUGGGUUCGACUCCCAGGCAGAGAG
rnacentral:tRNA from 1 species